rnacentral:lncRNA from 1 species
UGAAGCUAGUGGAGAACGAAUCGUCAGUGGGAUAGUAAUACCACAGACGAGAGUACAUAAUCCGCCGUACGAAGUGAAAUUAGAGGAACUUUGCAUCUAUACAUGCAAAACAGAAAUGGAAAAUGGAGAUGUAUCUCCUUAUCAAAAAGAUAUAAAUAAUAAAGGAAUAAGUAUAUUGGUCAUUGAAAUUAGAUUUAGA